GACGAACCGUGCAAACGUUAUUCGGAAUCACUGGGCAUAAAGGGCGCGUAGGCGGCUUUCUAAGUCAGGGGUGAAAUCCGGCAGCUCAACUGUCGCAGUGCCUUUGAUACUGGAGAGCUCGAGGGAGGUAGGGGUCUGUGGAACUUCCGGUGGAGCGGUGAAAUGCGUUGAGAUCGGAAGGAACGCCCGUGGCGAAAGCGAGGUCCUGGACGCCUACUGACGCUGAGACGCGAAAGCCAGGGGAGCGAACGGG
rnacentral:rRNA from 1 species